UUUAUAAGUUAUCAUUUUUCAAACCAAAAGCAUAUUGCUUAGUUUUCUUUUCUCGCAGCUUUUCUAUAAUAAUAUAAUAUUAUAUUAAAUAAUUGAUAUAUAUAAUAUAAUAUUAAAUAAUUUUUUUUUAAUCUUUCUUAUGUAAAAUUUAGUCCCAUCUACAACUCCACCCACAAUAUUAUCAACAACUGCCUCCACUGUUUCAUCUGCUACUGCUAUCGCUAGU